rnacentral:rRNA from 1 species
AACGAACGCUGGCGGCGUGGAUUAGGCAUGCAAGUCGACUGGACCUUCGGUGUCCGGGGCGCAAGUCUCGGAUACCGGGGGAACGGUGGCGAAAGGGUGAGUAACACGUAAGCAAUCUACCCCUAACUGUGGAAUAUCCCUCCGAGAGGAGGGUUAAUACCGCAUGUGGUCCUCCGAUGGCAUCAUUGGGGGAUUAAAGACGUGUCCGCAAGGAUAUGGCGGUUAGGGAUGAGCUUGCGUCCUAUCAGCUUGUUGGUGAGGUAACGGCUCACCAAGGCUAUGACGGGUAGCUGGCCUGAGAGGGUGGUCAGCCACACUGGGACUGAGACACUGCCCAGACUCCUACGGGAGGCUGCAGUCGAGGAUCUUCCGCAAUGGGCGAAAGCCUGACGGAGCGACGCCGCGUGGAGGAUGAAGGCCUUCGGUUGUAACUCCUUUGUCCCGGAGAAACCGUACCUGCUCAUACCAGACGGCUUGACGGUACCGGGAGAAAAGACCCUGGCUAACUCCGUG